rnacentral:rRNA from 1 species
UAAGGAAUAUUGGACAAUGGUCGCAAGACUGAUCCAGCCAUGCCGCGUGCAGGAAGACGGCCCUAUGGGUUGUAAACUGCUUUUGUACCAGAGAAAACCUAUCUACGUGUAGAUAACUGAUAGUAUGGUAAGAAUAAGCAUCGGCUAACUUCGUGCCAGCAGCCGCGGUAAGACGAAGGAUGCAAGCGUUAUCCGGAUUCAUUGGGUUUAAAGGGUGCGUAGGCGGGCUUGUAAGUCAGUGGUGAAAUCUCUCAGCUUAACUGAGAAACUGCCAUUGAUACUGCAGGCCUAGAGUAUAGAUGACGUUGGCGGAAUAUGACAUGUAGUGGUGAAAUACUUAGAUAAGGGAAGGAACACCAGUGGCGAAGGCGACCACCUGGACUGAUACUGACACUGAGGUGCGAAAGCGUGGGGAGCAAACA